AGCGCAGCGCGAGGCGGCGCAGCGCGCGGCCACUGCUAAGGCGGCGGCGCCAGCCAAGUCGGCGCUGAACUCCACCUUCACGCUGGACGAAGCAGGAGAAGACGACGCCGGCGCCGGCGCCGCCGACCAGCUACGACAUCACGCCGGGCCGGGACGAGCGGCCGCCGGAGCCGCUGCGCGAGAAGGACAACUACAACAUCGACGACCUCGGCUCGGACCAGAGCACCGACGACGAGUCGGCGCCGCGCAAGGUCAUCCCCGCCUGGGCCACAGGCUCGCGUCUGCAGAUGGCGCUGGUUGCACAGGAGUUCCGCGCCGCCAAUGCCUUCCUCAUCUUCACGCGCGAGGAGCUAUUCCCGGACGUGCGGCUGGAGGAGAUCUUCACCAUUCCGCGCCGCUGCUUCUUCAAGCGCACCUCCAGCGCCCAGUGGAACACGCCGCCCGCCGCCAAACACGUCAAGUAGUGAGCGGCGUGGUGGUCCGCCCCGCCGUGUGGUGUGGCGCGGGCUGCGGCGGCGCGGGAGCCGGCUCCAACGCUGAGCCUGCUGGUCACCGAGAACGCGGUGCGCCCGCUCG